GUAAUGAUGGCGAUGGUGCUGCCGAUGGUGUGCUGGCGAAGACCACUAAGAGACAGACUCCCAACCUGCUUUUCCAGAUCCCUCCCCCAACCCCAACACUAAUCUGACAUCUGACCCUCUCACCCAGAUAGAAACUGAAGGGAUGAAGAGAUUGGGGCCGUUGUCCCAAUGUAGGGGCAGCUGUCCCCAAAGGAACCAUUUAAUCUUCCUCCUGGCUUGGGUACUUAUGUCAUAAGGACUGAGCUGGGGAAGGCGGGCGAGGAGAGACCUUAGAAUAGACAUGAAGCCUGGACUCCGUGUCUGGAGUCACGGCUUCUAAGCAGUGACCAACGAGGGCCAUUGUACUUGGGGCAAGAAUCCAGAUGUGGGACCUCUGGCUGGAGGCUGGGCUUGCAGUCCCAGAGUAAUUGCAAAUGGUCACGCAGGUUCCUUGUACUGGAGAGGUCUUCAUGUGACGAUAGCAGGCCUUCCCUUGUCCUUAGGAAAUUUGUAUCUAAUAACAAAGAUGGGACAGACAUGCAUGGCAACUUAUUAGGGAACACGAAGGUGCCAAAAUAUGUGGAGACAGCAUCCUUCUGGGGGAUGUGUGUCAUGGGCCCCCCCACUGCUAGGGCCACCAUUGUGUCCUCUCUCCCUGGUGAUGUGAGUGUGCACAGCUUGCUGUCUCUUGGUUUCCUCAUCUGCAGAAACGGGGAUGAUCACAGUUCUCAUAAGGCUGCCAGAGAGUUAAAUGAGUGACUGACUGUCUGGAAAGGCUUGGCACAUGCCCGAGUGUGGCCCAGCAGCAGACGCCGUGGGAGCAGUAGUAUGCUGUGCUCCUAAGCAUGGAGCAGACCACGGUGCGCUCACUGAGAACCACAUCGAUUCCCGCUCGCCCGGUGCAGCCCUCGCGCUCGGCCCGUCUCGCUCGCCCUUUCUCUGCCGCGAUCCCUUCUGCCAUCCGUCUUGUCCCUCUCUGGAUGCAGGCGUUAAUGCAGGGCAUUAUCUCCCCUUGCAUCGCGGCCGUGGCAGCCUGUUUACACUGCGUUGUAUUUAUUAGGGUUCAUAUUCCAUUCCUGCCUUUCCCGGCCCGCGGCACUUUCUACAUCGUAAAGCUCUUCAUACAGCCCUGCUUAUCUCCUCUGGACCCCACGACCGUGAGGAAGUAGGGCAUGCGGACCUGGCUCCAUUUAAACAUGAAGACACCCGCACUCAGAGAGGCUAAUGGAAUGACCAGGUCAUGCUCGGAUUAUACGAUAUUGUACCAUAAUAAGGACGGCUCUGGGUGUCGAAUGCUAACGGUGAGCCCGACUCUGUUCCCCUGUAAGCUUUCUGCACUCAUCCUUAGCC
rnacentral:lncRNA from 1 species